rnacentral:lncRNA from 1 species
GGUUGCAUAUUGGUCCUUUCUCUUGUUUAUUUGUUAAUUAAAAUUGAUACUUAAGAACCGUCAACAAAUACCCCCAUACUUAGGCUUUUACUCGUCCUCGAGAAAAGGAUGGUUAAGAACAAUAUCUGGGGUAAACAUUUAAAACAUUCUCUUUAUAUAAUUGCAGGGUGUUAAAAAUCCACUGUGUACCAUAGUCAGGGAAGUUUAUGAUCAAGAGUAAAGAUCCUUUCUUCUCAAUCUUGUCACUUGGAGUUUUUUUGUAUAUUUUUGAAAGAAAGUUAGCAUACCUUUUGAUCCUCAUAGGUUCUCUCAGAUCACUCAUUAUCUUUUAUA